rnacentral:ncRNA from 1 species
CGUAUCAUUGUGCUUCGCCGUCAGGCGGGGCGAUAAGUCCGAAAGAGGGAUGAUAUGAC